AUACGGAGGAUGCGAGCGUUAUCCGGAUUUAUUGGGUUUAAAGGGUGCGCAGGCGGUCUGCUAAGUUGGAGGUGAAAAGCCCGGGCUCAACCUGGGUCGUGCCUCCAAUACUGGAGGACUGGAAUGUCCGUGCCGGGGUAGGAAUGCGUAGUGUAGCGGUUAACUGCAUAGCUAUUACUCAGAACACCGAUUGCGAAGGCUUCUCACGAACGUAUGAUUAACGCUCAUGCACGAAAGCGUGGGGAGCGAACAGAAUUAAAUACCCGGGUAGUCCACGCCGUAAACGAUGAUGACUAACCGCCGGCGAUAGAAUGAUCGGUGGCCAAGCGAAAGCGAUAAGUCAUCCACCUGGGGAGUACGACCGCAAGGUUGAAACUCAAAUGAAUUGACGGGG
rnacentral:rRNA from 1 species